rnacentral:rRNA from 1 species
GACGAACGCUGGCGGCGUGCCUAAUACAUGCAAGUAGAACGCUGAAGGAGGAGCUUGCUUCUCUGGAUGAGUUGCGAACGGGUGAGUAACGCGUAGGUAACCUGCCUGGUAGCGGGGGAUAACUAUUGGAAACGAUAGCUAAUACCGCAUAAGAGUAGAUGUUGCAUGACAUUUGCUUAAAAGGUGCAAUUUCAUCACUACCAGAUGGACCUGCGUUGUAUUAGCUAGUUGGUGGGGUAACGGCUCACCAAGGCGACGAUACAUAGCCGACCGGAGAGGGUGAACGGCCCAACUGGGACUGGGAAAAGGCCCAGAACCCUUAGGGAGGCAGCAGUAGGGAAUCUUCGGCAAUGGACGGAAGUCUGACCGAGCAACGCCGCGUGAGUGAAGAAGGUUUUCGGAUCGUAAAGCUCUGUUGUAAGAGAAGAACGAGUGUGAGAGUGGAAAGUUCACACUGUGACGGUAUCUUACCAGAAAGGGACGGCUAACUACGUG